rnacentral:rRNA from 1 species
AAUCAACGCUGGCGGCGUGCCUCAGACAUGCAAGUCGAACGAUUAAAGCUCUCUUCGGAGAGAGCAUAGAGUGGCGCACGGGUGAGUAACACGUAAGUAAUCUACCCUCGGGUGGGGAAUAACGUCCGGAAACGGACGCUAAUACCGCAUAAUGCAGCGGCACCGCAAGGUGACAGAUGUUAAAGGAGUAAUCCGCCUGGGGAGGAGCUUGCGGCAGAUUAGCUAGUUGGUAAGGUAAUGGCUUACCAAGGCUACGAUCUGUAACCGGUCUAAGAGGACGGUCGGUCACACUGACACCGAAUAAAGGGGCAGACUCCUACGGGAGGCAGCAGUCGGGAAUUUUGGGCAAUGGGCGAAAGCCUGACCCAGCAACGCCGCGUGAAGGAUGAAGUAUUUCGGUAUGUAAACUUCGAAAGAAUAGGAAGAAUUAAUGACGGUACUAUUUAUAAGGUCCGGCUAACUACGUGCCAGCCGCCGCCGUAACAC